AGUAACACGUGGAUAACCUACCUAUAAGACUGGGAUAACUUCGGGAAACCGGAGCUAAUACCGGAUAAUAUUUUGAACCGCACUGAUUCAAAAGUGAAAGACGGUCUUGCUGUCACUUAUAGAUGGAUCCGCGCUGCAUUAGCUAGUUGGUAAGGUAACGGCUUACCAAGGCAACGAUGCAUAGCCGACCUGAGAGGGUGAUCGGCCACACUGGAACUGAGACACGGUCCAG
rnacentral:rRNA from 1 species